AGUACUGUUUAUUUUUGUAAUAAAGUGAACUUAAUUUUUCCACUGAGUGUUAUAUUUUCAUUCAGUAGUAAUCGGUUAUUAGUAGGUGCUACCCGACUUGGUUAUCGGCAUCUGUAAGAUCCACUGUCGAUCAGCCUUUAAAAUAGAUUAAUGUGUAUCACAUGAUCUUCUUUAAUUAAUAACGAAAUGCGCUUGUUGACAACUUGCUGUGGUGUAAGGGGAAUAAAACACUUCAGAAUGUGCAGUUCUACCUUAGGGUGAUAACGGUCACUCCACUUCAUUGGAUCGUUGACUGUUUUCCUAUAACCGUAUGUUUAUUCCUUACAUAAAUUAAACACAAAGCAUGUAGGGGUUCUACAUGCAUGUAGUAUUUGUACAAUCAAUAACCUAUUAGAGUAAUACAUUGUGGUAUAUAAACUGAACUUUGUGUUUGAUGUGUCUGCAGUGCCCAAAGCCCGUGGUGGUGGCAGUGCAUGGCGUUUGUGUGGAAGCAGGUCUGUUGGGAGUGUUAAGUACCAUCAUCUCAUACACUCACCACAACUCUGGGAAGUUCCAUCCAUAUUGUUUGCUGUCACUUUUCCUGCAAACUUUAACCAUCAGAGAGUUAUCUUUUACUGGGGCUUUUAGCUGCAGGAGACUGAAUUACUAAGUUUUUUUUUUUUGUGGAUCUGAUUUCUUCUUUCGCAGGAGUGGAUCUAAUCACAGCCUGUGAUAUUCGUCUGUGCACACAGGAUGCCUGGUUUCAGGUGAAGUCGUGUGUUCCCUGAUAGUCCAUGAUUGCUGGAGCUCUGGAAAUAGCAGGUGAGAUUGCAGGCCGGAGUCGCGUCGCUGUCCAAGGAACCAAAAUCAACCUCCUCUACUCCUGAGACCACAGUGUGACUGAGAGCCUAGACUACAUGGCUACUUGGAACAUGAACAUGUUGCAGACACAGGAUCUUAUGAAGUCAGCGCAGGCAGCCCUGGAAAAGAAGAGUCCGAAAGACGUGCCCUUCUCCAAGCUUUAAAGGAGAAGAUCCAGGGCUGUUGAAGCUGCGGUGGAACUGAGACAUCAUCAUCCACAUAUCUUCAGUUCUUCUUGCUAAGUCUGUUUCUUUUUAGUCUUUUUAUUUUUAGACUGGUCAAAAGACUGAUUAGUGGAAGUGAAAUGAUAGAUGAACUUUUAUUUACUUGCUUUAUUAUUUGCAGGUGCCUUGUACAGUAAGACAGGGUAACUAAUACUCAAAAGCUUUUUUUGUGUGUUAACAUGUACAGUAGAUGGACAUAUUUUUUCUGGUGCUGUGACUGCAGAAUGUAGUGCAGUUAACACAUUAAAUUUCCUUGGAUGCUCACUUUUAACUCUAGGAGGUCACAGUUUGCCCAGACAUCUUUUUUUAAAUCCGUCAAUCCGUCACCCACACGUCAUUCUGGGGGACGAAGAGGAGGAAGCUGGACAGAUAAAUUUAUUUAUUUAUUUAUCAUUGCUGUGUUUCCUUAAUCGAGUGCAGAAAGAAGAAAAACAACACAACUGAUUUAAAAUAAAAAUAUAGAAAAUAAUCUAAUGUAAGAUUCUGAUCCGGUUUGCUUUCAGCAGGAAGGCUGUCCUCUUUCCUGUUGCUCUUUCUCUUCUAUUAGUCCAUUUGUCCAGUCUGAAUCGGUUUUGAUUCGUUUCGAGACGAUUCGGAGUCGAAUAAUUUUCUAGUGAGAGUCGCACACUUCCAAACGAACUAGACUGAGAUGAGUAUUUGAUUCUCACUAGAAAGUGAUUCGACUCUGAAUAAACUCGAAAUGAAUCAGUCAAACUGAUUCAGACUCUAUAAAAGGACUAUGAGAUGUGAUUAAGAUAUAUAUUCCAAUGUUUUGCUUUACAAUUCCAUUGUGUGUGUGUGUGUGUGUGUGUGUGUGUGUGUGUGUGUGUGUGUGUAUGUGUGUGCGUGCGCGCGCACGUGUGUUUUUCAGGAGAACGAGAAACUCGGACACAACAGUACAUCCUGACCAUUGGUACUGUGUACACAUCAACAUACACACACGUCUCCAUGCUGGACAUCUCAGGAGCUUUCACACAGUGCUAGGAAUAUCCCGGGACAGAGAAACGCACCUUCUAAGUGAGCGAGUUUAGCGUCAACCGGUGAAAUUUGCUGUAGCGUGAACACUUCGCCUCUGUGAGCUUCACUCUCCGUAGGGUUCACUGUAAUUAGACAUAAAAUGUACAUAGUUUAUUUUUCAUGCAUUUAGGAUUUAAUGUUUUUUUUUUUUUACUCUUCGAGGAACAGAAAUGAUCUUUCGAGGCAGCUUCUUCAUCACUACCUGCUCCGUUUGACUCAAAAAUGUAACGACCGGUUUCAAAAAGUGACGAUGUCUUCAGUUCAUGAGAUUUUACUGUUGAAUUUAAACAGGAAAUGUGAAAUAUUUUUUCCCUUUGUUUCCUCUACUGUCUUUUUGCUGUGAUCUUGAACACAGUUGUAAUUUAAAAAAAAAAAUAAUUAAAAAAAAUGAUAAUUCUAGUUCUCUCACUUUCCUUGUCCUAAUUGUCCUGUAUCUGUUAAGUCCGUUUCAUCUCUGGUCUUUCUGUCUGUAUGAACACUUGUAGAAAUGACUUGUAGUCCAUAUUUUUAAAUGAUUCGUGAUUUUGAAUUUAAAUAAAGAUAUUCUUUAAUUCUG